AUGUUCACUUCAGCAGCACAUAUACUAAAAUUGGAAUGAUACAGAGAAAAUUAGCAUGACCCCUGCUCAAAGAUGACACUGCAAUGUGUGAAGUGUUCCAUAUUAAA
ensembl:snRNA U6 U6 spliceosomal RNA